rnacentral:rRNA from 1 species
GAUGAACGCUGGCGGCGUGCUUAACACAUGCCAGUCGAACGGAAAGGCCCAAGCUUGCUUGGGUACUCGAGUGGCGAACGGGUGAGUAACACGUGGGUGAUCUGCCCUGCACUUCGGGAUAAGCCUGGGAAACUGGGUCUAAUACCGGAUAGGACGAUGGUUUGGAUGCCAUUGUGGAAAGUUUUUUCGGUGUGGGAUGAGUUCGCGGCCUAUCAGCUUGUUGGUGGGGUAAUGGCCUACCAAGGCGUCGCCGGGUAGCCGGCCUGAGAGGGUGUACGGCCACAUUGAGACUGAGAUGCGGCCCAGACUCCUACGGGAGGGAGAAGUGGGGAAUAUUGCACAAUGGGCGCAAGCCUGAUGCAGCGACGCCGCGUGGGGGAUGACGGCCUUCGGGUUGAAAACUCCUUUCGCUAGGGACGAAGCGUUUUGUGACGGUACCUGGAGAAGAAGCACCGGCUAACUACGUG